GAUGAACGCUAGCGACAGGCUUAACACAUGCAAGUGGAGCGACGAACCAGGGCUUGCCCUGGAGCAAAGCCGCGAACGGGUGAGUAACACGUGGGUAACCUGCCCCGACGACCGGGACAACCCGAGGAAACUCGGGCUAAUACCGGAUGUGCUCGCCGCGCCCAAGCGCGGGGAGUAAAGGAAGCUUCGGCCUCCGCUUCGGGGUGGGCCCGCGGCCCAUUAGCUUGUUGGUGAGGUAACGGCUCACCAAGGCCAAGAUGGGUAGCUGGUCUGAGAGGACGAUCAGCCACACUGGGACUGAGACACGGCCCAGACUCCUACGGGAGGCAGCAGUGGGGAAUCUUGCGCAAUGCGCGAAAGCGUGACGCAGCAACGCCGCGUGGGGGAAGAAGGCCUUCGGGUUGUAAACCCCUUUCAGGAGGGACGAAGGUGCGGCCGCGAAUAGCGGUCCGCACUGACGGUACCUCCAGAAGAAGCCCCGGCUAACUACGUGCCAGCCGCCGCGGUAAUAC
rnacentral:rRNA from 1 species